CCUACGGGAGGCAGCAGUGAGGAAUAUUGGUCAAUGGUCGGGAGACUGAACCAGCCAAGCCGCGUGAGGGAUGAAGGUACAGAGUAUCGUAAACCUCUUUUGUCAGGGAACAAAGUCGGGGCCGUGUCCCCGGCUGAGUGUCCCUGCAGAUAAAGCACCGGCUAACUCCGUGCCAGCAGCCGCGGUAAUACGGAGGUUGCGAGCGUUAUCCGGUUUUAUUGGGUUUAAAGGGUGCGCGGGCGGUCUGUUAAGUCAGCGGUCAAAGCCCGGGGCACAGCCCCGGCCCGCCGUUGAAACUGGCAGGCUCGAUUGGGAGAGAAGUAGGCGGAAUGCGCGGUGUAGCGGUGAAAUGCAUAGAUAUCGCGCAGAACUCCGAUUGCGAAGGCAGCAUGCCGGGUCCACACUGACGCUGAGGCACGAAAGCGUGGGUAUCGAACAGGAUUAGAUACCCUAGUAGUC
rnacentral:rRNA from 1 species